ACGUUCAGGUAAUUGCUGCAGCAUUUUUGCUGUAGAGGAAAGUCCAUGCUCGCACGCGCUGAGAUGCGCGUAGUGUUCGUGCCUGGUGAAAAAAUAAGCCAGGGCAGCAAGCUUCUGCUUGUUGACGGCCGGGAAAAUGCCUAAGUUCAUUUGGAUAUGGCAUGAAUACCGAUAAAAGUGCCACAGUGACGUAGCCUUUUCAGAAAUGAGAAGGGUGGAACGAGGUAAACCCCACGAGCGAGAAACCCAAAUUAUGGUAGGGGCGCUUUCUUCCUUGGAAACGAACGAGGAGAAGGACAGAUGCUUAAGCGUCUGUAGAUAGAUGAUUACCGCCGAAGUACGAGAUGAAUAAUCGAUUGCAGUACUGAGGAACAAAACAUGGCUUACAGAA
rnacentral:RNase_P_RNA from 1 species